CGCUGGCGGCGUGCCUCAGACAUGCAAGUCGAACGAUUAAAGCUCUCUUCGGAGAGUGCAUAGAGUGGCGCACGGGUGAGUAACACGUAAGUAAUCUACCUUCGAGUGGGGAAUAACAUCGGGAAACCGAUGCUAAUACCGCAUAAUGCAGCGGCAUCGCAAGAUGACAGUUGUUAAAGAUUUAUCGCUUGAAGAGGAGCUUGCGGCAGAUUAGCUAGUUGGUAAGGUAAUGGCUUACCAAGGCUACGAUCUGUAACCGGUCUAAGAGGACGGUCGGUCACACUGACACUGAAUAACGGGUCAGACUCCUACGGGAGGCAGCAGUCGGGAAUUUUGGGCAAUGGGCGAAAGCCUGACCCAGCAACGCCGCGUGAAGGAUGAAGUAUUUCGGUAUGUAAACUUCGAAAGAAUAGGAAGAAUAAAUGACGGUACUAUUUAUAAGGUCCGGCUAACUACGUGCCAGCAGCCGCGGUAAUACGUAGGGACCAAGCGUUGUUCGGAUUUACUGAGCGUAAAGGGCGCGUAGGCGGCAAUUCAAGUCAUCUGUGAAAUCUCCGGGCUUAACUCGGAACGGUCAGAUGAUACUGCUUUGCUAGAGUGCGGAAGGGGCAAUCGGAAUUCUUGGUGUAG
rnacentral:rRNA from 1 species